rnacentral:lncRNA from 1 species
UAUAUAUAUAUAUAUAUAUAUCCAAAUCCAAACAUGUUAAUCUUGAAUAAUGGGCCUAGGUCUAUCAUAUCUUAGAAUGAGAGAUUAAACCAUUCAUUAGUUCUCUUUCUAUUUGAUAUACACCAGUUAUGUACCUGAUAUUUCCAUAAUUCAUAGAUCAGUCUUCAAUCUUAGGGCGACCGGAAGGGAUUUAAGUAUCUUCCUCGUUUGAGCUCGGGAACUUUGCCAAACCAAAAGAUAAAAGAGAUCAGACACAUAAUAGAAUUACAGUGAAUAUGGUACAUUGAUCUUUUUUUCUUCGUUCGUUUUUUUGCCUAAUAGUUUCAUGACGAUAAAGAUAGGGCUCUUGGAGCUACUCAACCCCAAAAGCUCAUGAGAGGAUUAUUGCCCAAGUCCAUACAAGGAUAUUACCAGUCCAUUCCCCACCCAAUGGGACUCUAACUCACUCUAACAUCCGGCCACCAACUGAAGCAUGGACAAUAUAUGGGGCCCAAAUGGGAACAUAUCUAGCUCUGAUACCAUGUAAAAAUAUGAUAUUUGGGCCUAAGUCAAUCCCAAAAAUUAGCUCACGAGGGAAGGAUUGUCCAAGUUCAUAUAGGGCGACCACCAGCCCAUUCCCCGACCAACGUGGGACUCUAACCCAUUCUAACAAUGGCAAAAUAGAGAUUUGAGUUUAGGUACUCCACAAGGUGAAAACAGAUUAAGGAAGAAGCUUAAAGGCAAAGUAAAGAAAGACAUGUCUUUUGCUCCUUGUUUUAUUCUCAAUCCUGCUGGAAAGUCCAAGCAGAAAGAGACAUCUCACAUUGAAAGGUUUCCCUUCCAACUAGCAAUUAGGGAUUUCUCAGCCAUUUUAAAAGUUCACAAUCCAUGGUAUUUAAACCUCUCCACCAGACUUGCUUGGCACAAUGAUAUAUGAGUGGCUCAUUUCUACUUCCACCAAACAAAACAUUGUAAAUAAGUCCCUCCAAACUUAAAGUUUUGCAUGGCAAGAAUCUCUCUCUGCACCAUGAUAUGCAAACGAUAUUUUGAAUAACCUUUCGGACAUAAACUCCUUCUAACGGAGUAAAACUAUGUUGUUGCCCCAUGUAAUUAAGUGUCAAACAUAUCGAUGAUGUUACUAUGGAAAACUAAAGUUUCAUAAAAACAAUCCAAGGCUGAUUGCCACGUCUUUCAUCUACGAGCUCUUUCGUAGUUGCAGCCUUGACUUCUAUUUCAUAUCUUUGAGGUUGAUUGCCACGUCUUUCAUCUCUACCAUGACUUUGUCCCUAUCCAAGGCUGUUGACGAAGUCAGAAAAGAUGAUCAAAUUAAUAAAGAUAAACAUUAUCAAGCAGGUCUUAAAUUGGUGAAGACAAGAAGGGAGAAAACUUACUGUUCCAGAGACGAAAAGAGAAGUAAAGGAAAU